AGAGUUUGAUCAUGGCUCAGAAUCAACGCUGGCGGCGUGCCUAACACAUGCAAGUCGAACGCGAAAGGGACUUCGGUCCUGAGUAGAGUGGCGAACGGGUGAGUAACGCGUGGGUGACCUACCCUUGAGUGGGGGAUAACGUUCCGAAAGGGACGCUAAUACCGCAUGACAUUCCUGGUUUGAAGACUGGGAAAUCAAAGCCGGGGACCGUAAGGCCUGGCGCUUGAGGAGGGGCCCGCGUCUGAUUAGCUAGUUGGCGGGGUAACGGCCCACCAAGGCGACGAUCAGUAGCCGGCCUGAGAGGGCGGACGGCCACACUGGGACUGAGACACGGCCCAGACUCCUACGGGAGGCAGCAGUCGAGAGGCUUCGGCAAUGGGGGAAACCCUGACCGAGCGACGCCGCGUGGAGGAUGAAGGCCUUUGGGUCGUAAACUCCUUUCGUGGGGAAAGAAUGUGUUCGAGGUGAAUAAUCUCGAGCAUGACGUACCCCAAGAAGAGUC
rnacentral:rRNA from 1 species